CGUCCGUCUGUACCGUGGGCCCAGCAGCCCCUCCAGUUCCCAGGGAGUUUGAGGGGGACAGAGACCGAGGCCCAGACUUUUGUCUGUGGUCCCUGCCUGGGGCAGGGGUGAGGGAGGAGGGGAGGCAGCUCUGUGUCACCCCCAGCUGGAAAGGAAGUCAUUUCCUCGCCCCUCCCACCGCGGCUGCAGUGGAAAAGCACAGCUGCAGGCAAGACUCGGAGGAACCUCGGGAAGCACCGUGACAGCCCCCCGGCCCUGUCUAUCAUCCCCACCCCUCCCCUGAUGUUAAUGACUUUAUUGUGUCUGGAGCAGGCCAAGGGAAAUGCCCGUCUUCCGGCCAAGUCUGCAGGUCUGGUUCAAGUGCAUGCCUCUUUGCAUUACUGCUCCAAGUAAACCUCCUGCAAGUGAUUCACAGAACAGAAUCGGUGGGAACAGAAAGAUGAUGACUCGGCAUGUGCACCAGGAAGACGAGCCGCUCGUCUGAUCAUUCCUCCUGAUUUACAGCCGGAAAGUGCGGGGAGGUCCCUCGGUCUCCGCGAGCAUUAGCGGGGACCGCCAGCAGGGACCGCCAGCAUCGGCCCACGUACCCUUGACGAACUGCGUCACCGCCGCUUUCUCCCCACAGAGCACUCUCGUGGUGUCCGCUGUCCUGGUCACCCUCUUCCAUUCCACUCGGCAGCUGAUCACGGGUCGGUGACACUCUGUGGCAGCUUCGGUGGCCGCGCACGGUUCCACCAUGGUCCAUGCGACUUACGACAGAGACUGCUGCCAGCCUGGGUACCUGGUGUCUGUCUUUGCACGAGACUUUUCACGCAGAAACUUAUUUCCUUAGGAUACUUUUCGAUAGAUUUUGUCGGGAUUUUGGUGCCUUGUGCCAAAGUGCACCCCGCUGCCCCGCCCCUCCACACUCUCCAAAAGAGACCAGCUGGCUUAUAUUGCUCCAAGGGCCGUCUUUCCUCUCUGCUUUGGCCAGCGUGGGUGUUACCAUUUAAAACAAAGGUUGCCAGUUUGACGGAAGACGCCCGGAAAGUCAUCCAUGUGCUCAGGACGUUGCUUUGGGUCUUGCGAAGGACGGCAUCUGUCACGAGCCUGUGGGCCAGGGUGCAACCCGAGAAAGGCCUGGGCCAGCUCCCGCCCAUUUUUCUACGAACGUCCUGUCCUUUGAAAACGCAUGUGUCUGUGAGGCCUCGACUGACCGUUUGUCCACAGCGUGGGAGGACACGCUCUCUCCUGCCUCCCCACUCGCUUCCCACUGGGGCUGGGGUGUCUUUAGCCGCCCGAGGGGUUUAGACACUCAUGCAGUCCCGCGUCACCCCUGUCCUUCGGUGGCGCCUGGAAAGGUCCGCCCUGUCCCCGGGUAAUAAACGAUGCCUUUGUGUCCCUGCUAUUCACCCAU